GUGAAAACGACAUGAAUAAGAUAGACGAACUUGACAAUGGAGAACGUCGAUUCAUCUUACAAAAGUACAACGAACAUCCAGAAUAUCCUUUUCACGAAGAAUUUUGAAGCGAGGAUUCCAAGACAACUCCUUGAAGAAAUAUUAAAUGUGUUUUGAAUCAGGACCAAGACGUUUAGUGUUUCCUUCCAAGAAGAAAGUGCAAGUGCUUCUUUUGUUAACUCAAAAAUAUAUCCCAUUAAGACGUUACUAUAUUAUGGUGGCACGAUCAUACAGUGUGUUCCAAUUCAUAUUCCCACUUUGCACACCAUUAUCUUUUUCCCUAUGCAUAACUAGGAAAAACCAUUACAAACUGUCAAUUGCAUUUGAGAGAACAUAAUAAUAUUAUAUUCAUCGUUUGUUUUUAUCAGAGCACAAAACGUUAUGACAUCUUGAUUGCUUUUCAUGAUGUCAUUGCUGACAUCAAUAAAAUCAUCAAAAUCUG